rnacentral:rRNA from 2 species
ACGGGAGGCAGCAGUGGGGGAUAUUGCACAAUGGGGGAAACCCUGAUGCAGCGACGCCGCGUGAGGGAAGAAGGUUUUCGGAUUGUAAACCUCUGUCUUUGGGGACGAUAAUGACGGUACCCAAGGAGGAAGCUCCGGCUAACUACGUGCCAGCAGCCGCGGUAAUACGUAGGGAGCAAGCGUUGUCCGGAAUUACUGGGUGUAAAGGGAGCGUAGGCGGGUUUGCAAGUUGAAUGUGAAAUCUAUGGGCUCAACCCAUAAACUGCGUUCAAAACUGCAGAUCUUGAGUGGAGUAGAGGCAGGCGGAAUUCCUAGUGUAGCGGUGAAAUGCGUAGAUAUUAGGAGGAACACCAGUGGCGAAGGCGGCCUGCUGGGCUCUAACUGACGCUGAGGCUCGAAAGCGUGGGUAGCAAACAGGAUUAGAUACCCUGGUA